rnacentral:lncRNA from 1 species
AAAAAAAAAAAAAGAUAAGGUCAGUUGAGUUGGGUGGGAGUGAGUAAAAGCUAAAAAUUAAAUUAAAGAAAAAAGGAUAAAAUUUUGGGGGGUUUUUAAUGGGAAAACAAACAAAACCUAUAGAUUUAUAACAUAAACAUUAAACAGGUUUUAUUUAUUUAUUUUCUUUUUUGGUGAUUAUUAUUUUGGGAGGUUUUUUAUGUGAGUGCUCGUGAAAAAGGGGGUCUGCUCUGUUUUCUGAGUUGAAAAAAAGGUGGAAAAAAGGUAGUUGAAAAAAGACGGAGGGAUGAAUGAGUGAGUGAGGUAAAACUUUUUCUCACACAGCUAAACUUCAACUCGGAAACUCACUCAUUAGAGAUUAGUCAUUAGAAAACAUAUUAAAAGACAAAGAAGGGUUGAGGACCCACUUGUUUUUAACAUGAUGAAACUAUGAACAUGAUAUAUGAAAUGAG